rnacentral:rRNA from 1 species
AAACACGCCUGAUCUCUUCUGAUCUCGGAAGUUAAGU